GGUUACCUGGGGUGUUUGACAGAAAAUUGUAUCCCUGAGCCGAUAAUACUUUUACAGGAAAGUAUUUUAUUUGCUAUUGCGCAAGCUCGACUCACUUCGGUGGGCAAUCGAGAAGCCUACGGCAAAAAUAUAUUUUCCGCCCUGAACACGUCGGUUGUUCAUGGGUUAGGUUUUCAUCGGCACCUUGGGUUCCAC
rnacentral:other from 1 species